UACAGAGGGUGCAAGCGUUAAUCGGAAUUACUGGGCGUAAAGCGCGCGUAGGUGGUUUGUUAAGUUGAAUGUGAAAGCCCCGGGCUCAACCUGGGAACUGCAUCCAAAACUGGCAAGCUAGAGUACGGUAGAGGGUGGUGGAAUUUCCUGUGUAGCGGUGAAAUGCGUAGAUAUAGGAAGGAACACCGGUGGCGAAGGCGACCACCUGGACUGAUACUGACACUGAGGUGCGAAAGCGUGGGGAGCAAACAGG
rnacentral:rRNA from 1 species